CCUUUGCGACCCCAGGUCAG
rnacentral:rRNA from 1 species